CCUACGGGGGGCAGCAGUGGGGAAUAUUGGUCAAUGGGCGCAAGCCUGACCCAGCAACGCCGCGUGAAGGAAGAAGGCUUUCGGGUUGUAAACUUCUUUUCUCAGGGACGAAGAAAGGCACGGUACCUUAGUAUUAAGCCACCGCUAACUACGUGCCAGCAGCCGCGGUAAUACGUAGGUGGCAAGCGUUAUCCGGAUUUAAUGGGUGUAAAGGGCGUGUAGGCGGGAAGGCAAGUCAGAUGUGAAAACCAUGGGCUCAAACUGUGGCCUGCAUUUGAAACUGUUUUUCUUGAGUACUGGAGAGGCAGACGGAAUUCGUGGUGUAGCGGUGAAAUGCGUAGAUAUGAGGAGGAACACCAGUGGCGAAGGCGGUCUGCUGGACAGCAACUGACGCUGAGGCGCGAAAGCGUGGGGAGCAAACAGGAUUAGAUACCCCUGUAGUC
rnacentral:rRNA from 1 species